GGCUUGCUGGAGGCCAGAAGACUCCAGACACAUUGUUACAACUCGGAGGAGUGACAUCCUGACGGACAAAGUGCUUGGCCAGAUGCACAUAGCUCCUUAGUGGCAGAGUUAGCAGGGAGCUGAGGCACCCAGGUCCUACGCGGUGCCCACAUCACCCCGUUUUAUUGUGUGUCUGCGAAGGCUUGAUGCCCUGCAGGGCCCCCUGGAAGGGAGAGCGCCGAUGUCUAGAGAACACGGAUGUGGCUGCAGAGAGCGGUGGAUCACACAGUAGGAAGCUGACCUUUCUUCAGUUCUUUCCCAGCCCAUCGGAUUACCUCCCAGAGAAAGGCUCUGGUGAGGGAGCCUUCCCGGAGCAGCAGUGCCGCGCAGCAGCCUUUCAAAAUGAAUGCAUUUACGUAAAGAAAGCAAGUCGAUUUAAUACAAAUACUCAGUUUGCAUAAUAGUGCUGGUUGCCUGCAGACCAGACAGAGCAAACAGCAGAUUCCAGAAAGACCGAAGUCAGAAAACCCCACAAGAUUUCCUGAGAUAAAAACCUUUGGCCCCGGAGGUGGUGCGACCUUCAGGCACCUGCCCAGACGACACGAAGCCCCUCCCUCCCUCUGCACUCCCCACCGGAGGCCUUCACCGGACCAUUCAUCCAACCUUCCCGCCCUGAACAACGGACACGUCCUCCCUGGAACAAGAAACGGCUGCCAACAAAUCACCUACAUAAACAUGUCAGUACCUCAUACCCCCUCCCACCCCACCUCUCCCCGCCAUUCCCUCCCCACCACCAGCCAGACAAAACCGCGCUACCCCGCUCCCAGCAUGACCUCUCUGGCCCCUCUCCAUCCAGACCAGUGAACCUCGCCCGGAGCGCUCCCGAUAAAGCCCUUUUACUUCUGUA